AGGCCCCUCAGGAAAAGAACAGAUUUCCUUUCUACAGAUGCUUCCAAACUGUAAAUACGAGAAUGAAACAAGAACCCCGAAGGCCACGCUGGGGCCAGAUUUGCCCCAUACUGUGUAUGCAGCAUGGCUCCUGACUCCAGAAGAGAACACAGCUCGGUGGAAAAGUUUUGGAACAGGCACUGUGCUCACUGAACUGAGAUUUCUAAAACCUCUUCCAGAAGUACCCUCGAGAGCACCUGACACCUAUUCUGUUCAGCGAGCAGUCAGUGAGCAACAUAACUGAAUGUGAGCACUGUAAUACAGCUGGGAAACAAGGAAAAUAUGUAGUUCUGUGGCUUGAAAACACACAAAAGUAUGAGAGGUAUCAACAAAACAGAAAUUCGGUACAAGCGACAUCAUUUUUUGCCCUGUAUACCAUCAACAAAAUUGUAUCUAAGAUCCCAUUAGUAUACAUUUUUGAAAGACCCAAUAUAGCAUAUUAUUUUCUUAUUAGUAGCAUGAGACAAAAAUACCAGAGGAAAUUAAUAGUCUAGAACAUCAGGGUAAAUACUCUUAAAAAAACUUGCAAGAUUUAUACUUAUAGUUGAAAUAUAUAAUACAUAUGUGAGAGAACGUGUGUGUGUGAGAGAGAGAGAGAGAGAAAGAGAGAGAGAGAGAUGAUGACUAUAGAUGAAUAUAUAUAUUGGUACCUUACUUCACAAACUUGAUUCUUUCCAUGACUCUGGUCGCAAACCGAGAUACAGACAAGAACCAAAUCAAAUUCAACGAUUACAAUCAACAUUGACUUUAUGGGGGAAUUUGAUUCAGUUCUCAUCCAGUUCAGUUUGCAACCAGAAUCAUGGAGAGAAUUGAGUUUGUGAACCGAAAUACCACUAUAGAUGGUGUGUGCGUGCAUAUGUGUGUGUGUGUGUGUGUGUGUGUGUGUGUGUGUGUGUUUUACUGGGGUCUGAGCUCAGGAAGCCUUUACAUUGAGCUCUAUCUCAUCCUGUUUGUUUUUGGAGACAGGGUCUACAGUUCCCAGGCUGACUCAAACUUGUGAUCUUCCUGCCUCAGCUUCCUAGAGUGCUGGGAUUACAUCUGUGUGCCACUGCAUUUGGUAUGUUUUUGCAGUGAUAUCUUGCUCUGUUUCCAGGACUGGCCCUGCCACUCAGCUCAAGCAAUCUUCCUGCUUCAGGCUGAGAACGAGUCGGGUGACAUCAUACUGGGCUGUGUAAUUCAUUCUUUUAACUAAAUAUCAUUUUGUAUUUCCAAUCUGUACGACAUGAUUCCAGGAGAUGUUAUUCAUAGUUCUAAUACACAGUGAAGUUGAUUUUUAGGCCUGAAUGUUUAAGGAAAUAUAUAUAUGCAAAUCACUCUACCUACAAC
rnacentral:lncRNA from 1 species